UUUUUUUUUUUUUUUUCCUUUUUUUUGGUCUUUUUUUAGGGCCACACCUGCUACAUGUGGAGGUUCCCAAGCUAGGGGUGAAUCAGAGCUGCACCCCCGGCCUAUGCCGGAGCCACAGCAAUGCAGAAUCUGAGCCACAUCUGCAACCUACACCACAGCUCACUGCCAAUGCCGGAUCCUUAACCCACCAAGCAAGGCCAGGGAUCGAACCCACAAUCUCAUGGUUCCUAGUCAGAUUCAUUAAUCACUGAGCCACGACAGGAACUCUUCUUUACAUAUUCUAAACACAGCUAGUCCUUUGUUGAAUAUGAGUUGCAAAUAUAUUUCUCACACUCUGAAGCUUGUAUUUUUUUCUUCCUUACAGAGCCUUUCAUGGGGCAAAAGUUUUAAAUUUUACUUAAACCCAAUUCGUCAUUUUUCCCUCUUCUGGAUUAUGUCUUUGGUGUCAGGUCUAAGAACUUUUUGCCUAGCCUUAGAUCCAAAUGAGACACUUUAAGCAAAGAGAAGUAAUAGGAAUAGGAUUUCCCAUUGUGGCUCAGCAGGUUAAGAACCUGACAUAGCAUCCAAGAGGUACAACCUCUCUGGCCUCAUUCAGUGGGUUAAGGAUCUGGUGUUGCCACAGCUGCAGCAUAGGUCACAGAUUUGGUUCAGAUCUGGUAUUGCUUUGAUUGUGGUGUAGGCCGCAGCUGCAUCUCCAAUUCGACUCCUAGCCUGGGAAUUUCCAUAUCCCGCAGGUGAGGCCUUAAAAAAAAGGAAUAACCAGAAUCAAGCACAGCCUGUACAGGGCAAAUCAGGAUGUCUGGUCACACUGCAUACUUGCCAUGAUACAAAACUUACUUACUCUUGUAAGUAAUGGGAAGCAACAAGGUGAGGUUAGGUAGAAAAUAGAUUGGCAGGCUGAAACUGGAGGAGUAAGCCCUUUAAGGAGGACUAUUAAAAUUCAAAGAGCCUGGAACGACAGAGUAGGAAGUAGCCUCAGAAAUUAUCCAACCGGUUUCAAUAUGUGGAUAAAGACACUGAGACACCAGUGAUGUGUAUCCCCAUUGGCAGAUUCUUAACUACAAAUCAUGGAAACCUUCAAUGGGGGAGUUGAGGAACUUUUUAGUAUUUUAUAACUUCAAGGCCGAUUCAGGCCACUGGGAUCUUAUUAAAAUGCACAUUUUGAUUCAGUAGUUCUGGGGCAGGGGUGGCAGUUACUGCUGAGAUUCUGCAUUUCUUUUCUUUGGUUUUGGCUGUGUCCACAACAUGCAGAAGUUCCUGGGCCAGGGAUCAAACCUGCACCACAGCAG
rnacentral:lncRNA from 9 species